GCACGCGCGGCCUAGCGGUUAGCGCUGCCGUUUUUGAAUCUGAGGGUCGCGGGUUCAAUCCCCACUGGGGUCA